GUCAUUUUGGCGAGCUUGCUCGCUAGUGGCGGUUUGCUGAGUAUUUCGUAGGUGACCUGCCCCGAAGUGGGGAAUAACUGCCCGAAAGGGUGGCUAAUACCGCAUGUGGUGGUUCGUUCAUUCGAGCCUCCAAAGCAGCGAUGCGCUUCGGGAGGGGCCUGCGUCCGAUUAGCUCGUUGGUGGGGUAUUUGCUCACCAAGGCGUUUAUCGGUAGGUGGUCUGAGAGGUUUAUCACCCAGACUGGGACUGAGAUUGAGAUGCCCAGACUCCUUUUGGAGGCAGCAGUCGGGAACUCUGCGCAAUGGUUUAAAGUCUGUUUCAGCAUUUCCGCGUGAGGGAUGAAGGCCUUCGGGUUGUAAACCUCCUCUCUCAGGGUUUAUAAUGUUUGUACCUGAGGAAUAAGUCUUUGCUAAUUGAGAUUUGCCAGCAGCCGCGGUAAUUUUUAGGUGGCUAGCGUUGUCCGGACUCACUGGGCGUAAAGAGCGCGCAGGCGGUCGUUCAAGUCGAGUGUGAAAGCCCCCGGCUCAACUGGGGAGGGUCACUCGAUACUGAUCGAUUGAGAGAAGGCGGGAGAGGGAAGCGGAAUUCCCGGUGUAGUGGUGAAAUGCGUAGAUAUCGGGAGGAACACCAGUGGCGAAGGUUUUCCGUCCUGGCCCGUUCUUGUUUCUGAGGCGCGAAAGCUAGGGUAGCAAUUUGGAUUAGAUACCCCGGUAGUCCUAGCCGUAAU
rnacentral:rRNA from 1 species